GGUAUAGUGUAAUGGGGGGAUUAUUAUGGAGGUAUAGUGUAAUGGGAGGAUUAUUAUGGAGGUAUAGUGUAAUGGGGGAUUAUUAUGGAGGUAUAGUGUAAUGGGGGGAUUAUUAUGGAGGUAUAGUGUAAUGGGAGGAUUAUUAUGGAGGUAUAGUGUAAACGGGGACUAUUAUGGAGGUAUAGUGUAAUGGGGAUUAGUGUAAGAAGAUGUGUAAUGGUG